GACAUGUGAAUAUGCUUACCGUAGACAGUAGGUGCCGCAAGGCUUAAUUUCCUACCGAGGUGUUCUGAUAGAACGUAAUUUCAUGCGGGUUUUCCGCGUGAAAUGCUUCAUUCAAGCCUUCGUGAUUCUACGGAGGCCUUUUUAAUGGUGUG
rfam:Paenibacillus macerans strain 8244 genomic scaffold scaffold1, whole genome shotgun sequence.